UACGAAGGGGGCUAGCGUUGCUCGGAAUCACUGGGCGUAAAGCGCACGUAGGCGGAUUGUUAAGUCAGGGGUGAAAUCCUGGAGCUCAACUCCAGAACUGCCUUUGAUACUGAGGAUCUUGAGUUCGGGAGAGGUGAGUGGAACUGCGAGUGUAGAGGUGAAAUUCGUAGAUAUUCGCAAGAACACCAGUGGCGAAGGCGGCUCACUGGCCCGAUACUGACGCUGAGGCACGAAAGCGGUGGGGAG
rnacentral:rRNA from 1 species